rnacentral:rRNA from 1 species
GAUGAACGCUGGCGGCGUGCCUAAUACAUGCAAGUCGAGCGAACAGACGAGGAGCUUGCUCCUCUGACGUUAGCGGCGGACGGGUGAGUAACACGUGGAUAACCUACCUAUAAGACUGGGAUAACUUCGGGAAACCGGAGCUAAUACCGGAUAACAUGUUGAACCGCAUGGUUCAACAGUGAAAGACGGUCUUGCUGUCACUUAUAGAUGGAUCCGCGCCGCAUUAGCUAGUUGGUAAGGUAACGGCUUACCAAGGCAACGAUGCGUAGCCGACCUGAGAGGGUGAUCGGCCACACUGGAACUGAGACACGGUCCAGACUCCUACGGGAGGCAGCAGUAGGGAAUCUUCCGCAAUGGGCGAAAGCCUGACGGAGCAACGCCGCGUGAGUGAAGAAGGUCUUCGGAUCGUAAAACUCUGUUAUUAGGGAAGAACAAAUGUGUAAGUAACUAUGCACGUCUUGACGGUACCUAAUCAGAAAACCACGGCUAACUACGU